GUCCACGCCGUAAACGGUGGACGCUGGAUGUGGGCACGUUCCACGUGUUCCGUGUCGGAGCUAACGCGUUAAGCGUCCCGCCUGGGGAGUACGGCCGCAAGGCUAAACUCAAAGAAAUUGACGGGGCCCGCACAAGCGGCGGAGCAUGCGGAUUAAUUCGAUGCAACGCGAAGAACCUUACCUGGGCUUGACAUGUUCCCGACGACGCCAGAGAUGGCGUUUCCCUUCGGGCGGGUUCACAGGUGGUGCAUGGUCGUCGU
rnacentral:rRNA from 1 species